AAACGAUCGUGUAGCCAAAUCUAAACGAUCGUAUACCAAAUUUUGAAAAAAAAUCGUUUCCUAAAUCUAAAUAAUCGGGUAGCCAAAUCUAUACGAUGAUAUAGCCAAAUCUAAACGAUCGUAUACCAAAUUUUGAAAAAAAAAUCGUUUAGAUUUGGAACCCCAAAUCUAAAUGAUCGUGUAGCCAAAUCAAAACGAUCUUCUAACCAAAUCUAAACAGUCAUAUACCAAAUUUUGAAAAAAAAAAUUUGGGGGUAGCAAGAUCGUGUACCUAAUUAUUUAAUAAUUAUUUUAAUUUAUAUUUAAUUUUUUAAUUACGCAUCAUUAUUAAAACUGGUUCAUCUAAUUAUUUAUAAUUAUUUAGAAAUAUUCAUAUAAAUUUUAAUAUUGAAGAGCAAUAACAAAAUUUAAAUUUGUUUGACAAAACUAUUAAAAUGAAUACAAAGGGAGAUUAGACAACAAAAGAGGGAGAAUUGAUGGAAUUUCAUGAGGGAAGACGAAACACGGAUUGAUGACGACGAUUGAGGGGACCCUAUUAGAAAAAGACCCUUUCUUGACGGUUGGUUUUUGCUUUUCUUGACAGUUUUUGGUAAAAACGUCAAGAAAUGGGUGAUUUAAUAGGAAAACCGUCAAGAAUUUUGAUGAAAAGGCGGAGGGGAGCAAUUUUAAGAAUUCUUCACGGUUUUAAACCGUCAAGCAAUAUGAACGUUUUUCUUUACUGUUAUAAACUGUCAAGGAUUAUCUUCUAAGUUCUUGAUGUUUUUAAAACGUCAAGAUUUUUUAUAAAAUCGACAUUCUUAAUAUUUUUCAAACGUCAAAUAAUAUGUAAUUAUACUUGACGUUUUAAAAAUGUCAAGAAAUAUUGAUUAAAUUUUUGACGUUUUAUAAACGUCAAGAAAUAUCGAUUAAAUUCUUGACGUUUAUAAAGAAAUAUCGAUUAAAUUCUUGACGUUUUAAAACGUCAAGAAUUUUAAUGAAAAGGCAGAGAUUGAGUAAUUUUAAAAUUUCUUGACAUUUUUAAAACGUCAAGUAAGAGAAUUUUCCUUGACGUUUGAGAAACGUCAAGAAUUACUAAAUAAUUGAAAAAAAUAAAAAAAUAAUUUCUUUUUUUAAAAAAACCUAAUUUCUUUUAACUUUUUAAAUAAAAAACUAACUUCAUUUUUUCAAAAAAAACUUAAACCCCCAAUUUUCCCUCGCGCGCCCCUCACUCCCAUCUCUCUCGCAAAGACCCACACCCCCACACUGUCCCGAAAUGGCAAAAACCCCUCCAACGAAGAACCCCUCCGCCGAAGAACGCUGUCGACCCAUGACUCCUCUGCCAAAUAACGUCGAAGAACUUAAAGAACCAUGACCCCUCCGUCGAAGAACUCGAAUAACGCCGAAACUGGAACAGGAAAUGGUGAAAGAAAAUAAGUUAAUUUUCACAUUUGAUGCUACAAAAAAAGCUAGGUUUGGUGUGCUACCAAGAUAUGCAAAAGAUGACUUGCUUAUCCAAUGGUUUGAGCUUCCAAAUUGUUUUAUAUUUCAUAAUGCUAAUGCUUGGGAGGAAGGAGAUGAACUAGUUUUGAUUACUUGCCGUCUUGAGAAUCCCGACUUGGACAUGGUCAGUGGGUCUGUUAAAGAGAAGCUCGAGAACUUCUCAAAUGAGCUGUAGGACUCUAAUCCAUUUCUACAUAUGAAGAAAAGUUCUUGAUGUGGCUGUGACAUUUCUAAUUAUUUUUUCAUCUGUCAAGUAUGAGAUAAGAUUCAAUCUUAAAUCUAGUUUAGCUUAACAGAGGAAACUCUCAGAAUAUGCUGUAGAUUUUCCUAGAGUGAACGAAAGCUACACUAGCAGGUAUUUUGUUUCCAUUAUUUUUCUAGUAUUUUUAAAAGAAUAUUGGCUUGAGUCAUGGAUAUAAUAUGAUGAGAUCAUCAAAUUUUUGUGUAAUAAAUAUUUGAAAUAAAGAAUGUUUCUU